rnacentral:rRNA from 1 species
UUGAACGCUGGCGGCAUGCCUUACACAUGCAAGUCGAACGGUAACAGGUCUUCGGAUGCUGACGAGUGGCGACCGGGUGAGUAAUACAUCGGAACGUGCCCGAUCGUGGGGGAUAACGCAGCGAAAGCUGUGCUAAUACCGCAUACGAUCUACGGAUGAAAGCGGGGGAUCGCAAGACCUCGCGCGGACGGAGCGGCCGAUGGCAGAUUAGGUAGUUGGUGGGAUAAAAGCUUACCAAGCCGACGAUCUGUAGCUGGUCUGAGAGGACGACCAGCCACACUGGGACUGAGACACGGCCCAGACUCCUACGGGAGGCAGCAGUGGGGAAUUUUGGACAAUGGGCGCAAGCCUGAUCCAGCCAUGCCGCGUGCAGGAUGAAGGCCUUCGGGUUGUAAACUGCUUUUGUACGGAACGAAAAAGCUCUCUCUAAUACAGGGGGUGAAUGACGGUACCGUAAGAAUAAGCACCGGCUAACUACGUG